rnacentral:rRNA from 1 species
UACGAAGGGGGCUAGCGUUGUUCGGAAUUACUGGGCGUAAAGCGUGCGCAGGCGGCCAUCCAAGUCAGUGGUGAAAGCCCGGAGCUCAACUCCGGAAUUGCCUUUAAGACUGCAUCGCUAGAAUUGUGGAGAGGUGAGUGGAAUUCCGAGUGUAGAGGUGAAAUUCGUAGAUAUUCGGAAGAACACCAGUGGCGAAGGCGACUCACUGGACACAUAUUGACGCUGAGGUGCGAAAGCGUGGGGAGCAAACAGG